AACGUAGGUACCGAGCGUUAUCCGGAUUUACUGGGCGUAAAGCGUGUUCAGGCGGUCAGGCAAGUCGGGCAUGAAAUCUCUCGGCUCAACCGGGAGAGGUUGUCCGAUACUGCCAGACUUGAGGGCAGUAGAGGGUGGUGGAAUUCCGGGUGUAGUGGUGAAAUGCGUAGAUAUCCGGAGGAACACCAGUGGCGAAAGCGGCCACCUGGACUGUACCUGACGCUCAAACACGAAAGCUAGGGGAGCGAACGGG
rnacentral:misc_RNA from 1 species